GGCAGGUCAUCCUUCGGCUAUA
rnacentral:miRNA from 1 species